UACGGAGGGAGCUAGCGUUAUUCGGAAUUACUGGGCGUAAAGCGCACGUAGGCGGCUUUGUAAGUAAGAGGUGAAAGCCCAGGGCUCAACCCUGGAAUUGCCUUUAAUACUGGCGGCCUUGAGUAUGGCAGAGGUGUGUGGAACUCCGAGUGUAGAGGUGAAAUUCGUAGAUAUUCGGAAGAACACCAGUGGCGAAGGCGGGUCUCUGGGCCGAAACUGACGCUGAGGAGCGAAAGCGUGGGGAGCAAACAGG
rnacentral:rRNA from 1 species